rnacentral:tmRNA from 1 species
CAGAAUUAGGUAAUUGCCAUCGUUCCGCCUGGGUAAGUUUCUACACCUGGGAGUUCGGAGCGUCGUAAGUAGAAAAUAGCCUUCGAGGAGCUGUGACUCGGGGGCGAAACCCAACUGCAGCUAGGGGCGGUGCAAAGGCCUGAUGUGCGCCUGUACCGCCAUGAAAAUCCAAGCAUAGAUACGCACGUAGAAAGCACGUUGAUUUCCUUGUCUGGACCAGGGUUCGAAUCCCUGCAUCUCCACUU